ACUUCUGUCACUAACACCCGUGAUACCAGGGGCACCCGCAACACUGAGGGCACUCACGGCACCUGUGACUCCUGCAACACCAAUGGCACCCAUGACUCCGGCGAUAAAGCUGCAGGAGAAACACACUGCCUCCCGCAUGUGCCUGGUGCGGCAAGCUCCACUUUUUGGACACCCUGAGAAUAUGUCCCCAGUCACUCCCCGUGGCCUCACCCAGAAAAAGAAGGGAGUGCCUGGGAGAAUCUGGAGGUGUCUGUCUGAGUAUAUUUGCUUGGACUGCCCAGCAAGAGGGCUAAUAAUAAAGUGGUGCCAGAAACAGCCAAUGGAUGACCUGCCAAGCUCCCCAGGACCUGGUCAUGUUCCCACCUGGAUGAUGGGAUUCAAAUCCAGCAGCCCCACCACCUAAAGCAAAGCCUCCAAUCCAAAAUCCUGGCCAGCUCAGACGAUGCUCUAGAGUGCUCUGGGCUUCCAGCAGAGGCACCACCCUGGCCCGACUGCCCCUCCUUCCCUGCUGGGUGAAACUUCAGAGACUGGACUGUGCCCUGGGGCAUGUCCCGCAUCCCUCAAGCUUCUGUCUAUCAUGUUGGUGGGGAGGGGACAGGUGUUGCCAACACCUUGGAUCUUCUCUUGGUUCACUCCUGAGUUGGUAUAGUUAAUAGUUUAUUAGCAUAGUUAGACUUAUCACGGUUAGUAUAGUUGUGAGGAAUAGAAUACUUGUAUAGCACUGUUAGCAUACUCAGUAUUGUUAGUACAGUUAGCAUUCUUGGUGACGGCUUAGUGGUACUUCGUAUAGUUACUGGUAUAGUUGGUACAGUUAGGUAAUUAGUAUAGCUUAGUGGUAGUUAGUAUAGUUAGGGAUUCAGGACCUCAUGUCCAUGUCUGUUAAAAAGGUGGCUCAUAUUGAAAUGUAUGCGUUCCUUCACACAGUCAUUGAAGGCCACGUUGUCAAUGAGAAGUUGGCCCAGUGUGUUCUGACCACAGGAGUGGUAGCCAUCAAGGCCAUUACCAAGACAAAUCAGAGCUUCGCCAGCAUCCAGGAACUGUUUUGAGAGGUUAACAGCAUGAGAAUCUUAAACCACCCGAAUGUUGUCAACCUCCUGGAAGUGAUUGACACUGAGGAGACUGUGUUUAUAGUAAUUGAGUUCCUCCGUGGGGCAGACUUGUUCACCCUCAAGGACGCCAAAGACAGAGACGGAGGCCCAAGGCCCGUUCUGCCAGCUGGACUCGGCUCUGCAGAACUGCUAGCAUCCCGGUGUGGUUCCCAGGGACUUGAAGCUGGGCAACCUCCUCCUUGAUGGCCAACAACAACAUCAAGCUCUCCGACUUUGGCUUAACAAGCAGUGGCACCCAGGAAAGC
ensembl:lncRNA